AACGCGAAGAACCUUACCUACCCUUGACAUGCUAGGAAUCCUGCAGAGAUGUGGGAGUGCUCGAAAGAGAACCUGGACACAGGUGCUGCAUGGCCGUCGUCAGCUCGUGUCGUGAGAUGUUGGGUUAAGUCCCGCAACGAGCGCAACCCUUGUCCUUAGUUACCAGCACGUUAUGGUGGGCACUCUAAGGAGACUGCCGGUGACAAACCGGAGGAAGGUGGGGAUGACGUCAAGUCAUCAUGGCCCUUACGGCCUGGGCUACACACGUGCUACAAUGGUCGGUACAGAGGGUUGCCAAGCCGCGAGGUGGAGCUAAUCUCACAAAACCGAUCGUAGUCCGGAUCGCAGUCUGCAACUCGACUGCGUGAAGUCGGAAUCGCUAGUAAUCGCGAAUCAGAAUGUCGCGGUGAAUACGUUCCCGGGUCUUGUACACACCG
rnacentral:rRNA from 1 species